rnacentral:rRNA from 1 species
AGAGUUUGAUCCUGGCUCAGGACGAACGCUGGCGGCGCGCCUAACACAUGCAAGUCGAACGAGAGAUGAGGAGCUUGCUCUUCAGAUCGAGUGGCGAACGGGUGAGUAACGCGUGAGGAACCUGCCUCAAAGAGGGGGACAACAGUUGGAAACGACUGCUAAUACCGCAUAAGCCCACGGCUCGGCAUCGAGCAGAGGGAAAAGGAGUGAUCCGCUUUGAGAUGGCCUCGCGUCCGAUUAGCUAGUUGGUGAGGUAACGGCCCACCAAGGCGACGAUCGGUAGCCGGACUGAGAGGUUGAACGGCCACAUUGGGACUGAGACACGGCCCAGACUCCUACGGGAGGCAGCAGUGGGGAAUAUUGCACAAUGGGGGAAACCCUGAUGCAGCGACGCCGCGUGGAGGAAGAAGGUCUUCGGAUUGUAAACUCCUGUUGUUGAGGAAGAUAAUGACGGUACUCAACAAGGAAGUGACGGCUAACUACGUGCCAGCAGCCGCGGUAAAACGUAGGUCACAAGCGUUGUCCGGAAUUACUGGGUGUAAAGGGAGCGCAGGCGGGAGAACAAGUUGGAAGUGAAAUCCAUGGGCUCAACCCAUGAACUGCUUUCAAAACUGUUUUUCUUGAGUAGUGCAGAGGUAGGCGGAAUUCCCGGUGUAGCGGUGGAAUGCGUAGAUAUCGGGAGGAACACCAGUGGCGAAGGCGGCCUACUGGGCACCAACUGACGCUGAGGCUCGAAAGUGUGGGUAGCAAACAGGAUUAGAUACCCUGGUAGUCCACACCGUAAACGAUGAUUACUAGGUGUUGGAGGGUUGACCCCUUCAGUGCCGCAGUUAACACAAUAAGUAAUCCACCUGGGGAGUACGACCGCAAGGUUGAAACUCAAAGGAAUUGACGGGGGCCCGCACAAGCAGUGGAAGUAUGUGGUUUAAUUCGACGCAACGCGAAGAACCUUACCAAGUCUUGGCAUCCCUUGACGAUGCUGGAAACAGUAUUUCCUUCCGAGCAAGGAACAAGUGGUGGCAUGGUUUCCGUCCACUCCUGGCCUGGAAAAUGUGGGUUAAAUCCCCCACCAAGGCCAACCCUUAUUGUGCGUUUCUCUCCCCAAGAGGACUUUGGCCCAAAUGCCUUUAAAAAACAGAAAGAAGGGGGGGAUGACGUCAAAUCAUCAUGCCCUUUAUGACUUGAGCUACACACGUACUACAAUGGCGUUAAACAAAGAGAAGCAAGACCGCGAGGUGGAGCAAAACUCAGAAACAACGUCCCAGUUCGGACUGCAGGCUGCAACUCGCCUGCACGAAGUCGGAAUUGCUAGUAAUCGUGGAUCAGCAUGCCACGGUGAAUACGUUCCCGGGCCUUGUACACACCGCCCGUC